CAUCUGAGGCAGUAGAGAUCUCGCCACACCCAAUAACACCAUGUCAGAUACCAGAGAAAAUUGAUCGCAGCACAGCAGAAGCAAAGGACAUCUUGGAGUCUGUGGUUUCAGGGCCAUGAAUCUCCAAAAGUCACCUGUCAGAGAUUUGUCACCUGGUUGGUUGACACCUUGAACUUCAAUUGAAACCAGCUGAUUCUCUGACAGGGCUACCAGCCAUGGAUCUGUUCAUUUCAUCAGGGUCAUCAUUAUUUAAAGAAAUAUUUGUGCUUCCUCAUCUGAUGCCAGAAUCUCCAGAACCUAACUGAUUCCUUAUCAUACCCAUGGUUGCUCCUACAUUACCCAUAUUUUUGGAUGAAGAUCACAGGGUCUGCAGGAAAUAGUCCCCUUGAUGUCCUGGCUCUAGAAGAGCUUCUGUUUUCUUUCUUCAGCCAGGACAGAAGUGUCUUGUCACUGUUGUGAGAUACAGUGGGUGGUGACAUUCACUCUGGAGGUCACAGCAAAGCUGGAUGGGCUUGAUGUGUUGGGUUCCCUGUAGUGAACUCCUAAGAAGAAAGGAGACGGUGUGUUAAAUGGGCACUCACCUUAUACAUUGGCAACCAUGAUGGGGCUGUGAAUGUGGACAAUCCUGAGACAAGACCACUUUCCUAAAGGCAGAUGCUGGGAGUGGGAACCUUGGGUGUUCUGUACAUGGCCCCACAUGAUCACAGAAUAUCUGCAAACACAACAGCUACCAAUGGUCUCAUGGUCACAGAUGUGGUUCCCUGCAUGGUGCCAUUCAGUAAUUGGAAUGGACAUUCAGCACUGUGGUUCCAGUAGGGUCUAUCUGCACCGCAGAUCUGGCCUUACAUAUUUACAGAUAUGAUAAUCCUGGGAUUCUCUUUUUCUCUCACAAAUGACUGUCACUUGACCAGGGACACAAGGAGCUUGGCUCAUUCUGGAGGAUAGUUUUGGGGAGGGUCCCUACCUGCGUUCACUGAGGGAACUGCCAGACAUCGCUAGGAUCAUCCCAUACUGGCUAUGCACCAUAGAUAACGGGCCAGAGUGACUCCUUGUCACCAGUUAGAAAAGAGAAAAUUGAAACAGCUAGAAACCCAUCGAUUCAUCAAUACAGGGGUCCAGGAGUGUAGAAAAAGUCCCAGAGGAGAAUGCCCCUGUGAUAGGUUUUCCCUUUACAUCAAGGUAGUUUUCCAUUUUGUGUAGAGCCUCCUAGAAACACAGAGUUUUCUGAUGCCCUAGCGCUAAACUAUGGGUUGAUUUAUCUCAGAGUCAACAAAGCCACCUCCUGCCUUCACAACUCACACAGAGAAGAUUGUGAACAUAAAAGUCCUGGCAGCUCCUCCAAGGGACAACAAUGCUUGGACGUAUGGACAGGCACCCAGGAUGCAGCUGAUGGAGGACACGGCUCCUUGUCAUGUGGCUGUCAUUAAGGCAGCCCCCACACAGCCUUGAUUAAGGAAGAGUCUGAGUCUUCUUUUGGAACCCAUGUUGAAAUAAUUUGAAGGCGUGGUGAUGUACAUAGGUGAUGUCUUUGAGGAUUCUCUAUUCUGUUACACUUUGUACAGCUCUGUGUUUAUGCUGCUACUGUUGUAUGUUGAUUGUAGUAACGCUAUAGUCAGAAUGAGUUACAUGGUGUAUCACCUGCCAUUUUCUUUUACAAUAUUGUUUUGUCUAUUCUAUGCUCUUUAUAUUCCCAUAUAUAAUAAAAUUUCUAAUCGGUUUGCCCAGUUUAUCAAAAUAUGGAAUACAAAGUUGAUUGGAAUUGAAUUUAAAUGUAUAAAUCAAACAGAAAAGAGUAGACAUUUUGAGUUCUGUAGUUUAUGAUGUGAUACCUUUUUAUAUUCAUUUAAGUUUUAUUAAUAUUUUUUGAAAAAAUAUUUUGUGAUUUUUCAGAGAC
ensembl:lncRNA